rnacentral:tRNA from 15 species
GCGGGUAUAGUUUAGUGGUAAAACUCUAGCCUUCCAAGCUACUGAUGCGGGUUCGAUUCCCGCUACCCGCU